GCAGGAGUGGCGGAACGGCAGACGCAGUGGACUCAAAAUCCACCGUUGGUGACAACGUGAGGGUUCAAAUCCCUUCUCCUGCA
rnacentral:tRNA from 1 species